rnacentral:rRNA from 1 species
AACGAACGCUGGCGGCAUGCCUAACACAUGCAAGUCGAACGAGACCUUCGGGUCUAGUGGCGCACGGGUGCGUAACGCGUGGGAACCUGCCCUUAGGUUCGGAAUAACUCCCCGAAAGGGGUGCUAAUACCGGAUAAUGUCUUCGGACCAAAGAUUUAUCGCCUUUGGAUGGGCCCGCGUUGGAUUAGCUAGUUGGUAGGGUAAAAGCCUACCAAGGCGACGAUCCAUAGCUGGUCUGAGAGGAUGAUCAGCCACACUGGGACUGACACACGGCCCAGACUCCUACGGGAAGCAGCAGUGGGGAAUAUUGGACAAUGGGCGAAAGCCUGAUCCGGCAAUGCCGCGUGAGUGAUGAAGGCCUUAGGGUUGUAAAGCUCUUUUACCCGGGAUGAUAAUGACAGUACCGGGAGAAUAAGCUCCGGCUAACUCCGUG